UAUGUGUCCUGGAGCUGCAGCAGAAGGGAAAGCCAGCAGUUUUCACCUGUGAUGUGCCUGCAGGUGUUCAGCUGUGUUCAUUGCAAACACAGCUCUGGGGGAAUCUGGGAGGAAAUCCAUAACUCACCUAGCUGCCACGGCAACAUUUCAGAAAGAGGAAGAGUUGUGCCUGGCACAUAGCACCCCCCUGCUAUGCUAUCAGCUUAAGCCUUGGAGCAUGAAAUUCAGUUACCUUUACCAUAGGAUAGCAGAAGACAAUGAGUUGCUGUCACAAAUCCAGACAAGGGGUUAUCAGGAUUGCCUCCAUCAGGAUUGCCCAAGAGGAGAGAACACACUACAUGUGUUUGGAAACAACACCCAAAGAGCACUUGGCUCUGUAUGUAACUAGAUUUUACUUUCUUCAAUGUGUCUUCUUUA